GAAGGCUCCCUUUGGACGCUGUUCUUCGUGAACCCGGUCAGAUCCGGAAGGAAGCAGCCGUGACGAAUGGAUUGCGGGUCAGAGUGGGCCUUCUAC
rnacentral:SRP_RNA from 1 species